rnacentral:tRNA from 1 species
GGGGUUGUGGCUCAGUGGUAGAGCGCUUGCUUAGCAUAUGAGAGGCUCUGAGUUCAAUCCUCAGCACCACA